UCUACCGAUGGCAAGCCGAUCUUGCUGCAGGUAGCCGCCAGCAGAACAAGCGGUGACGGCUGAGCGUCCUACCCACAAUGGGCGGGUUCAAAAAGAAGAAAGUGGGUGGCCGUUAGUCCGGAGCUGACACAGGAAGUACGCGGGCUUCCUGUGAAGAAUGCGUGACGUGCGCGCACUCUGUUUACAAUUGCAGACAAUGAAAAGCGGCCUUCUCGUGAGCUGACAUGGAGAUUCGGGGCCUGCGCUCAAUCCAGCCAACGCACAUUUUGGUGGUGUUCUUUUUGUCGUUGUACCGUUAAUAAAAUGUUAAUGAAA